rnacentral:rRNA from 1 species
GUAGGUGGCAAGCGUUGUCCGGAAUUAUUGGGCGUAAAGCGCGCGCAGGCGGUUCUUUAAGUCUGAUGUGAAAGCCCACGGGCUCAACCGUGGAGGGUCAUUGGAAACUGGAGAACUUGAGUACAGAAGAGGAAAGCGGAAUUCCACGUGUAGCGGUGAAAUGCGUAGAGAUGUGGAGGAACACCAGUGGCGAAGGCGGCUUUCUGGUCUGUAACUGAUGCUGAGGCGCGAAAGCGUGGGGAGCAAACAGGAUUAGAUACCCUGGUAGUCCACGCCGUAAACGAUGAGUGCUAAGUGUUAGGGGGUUUCCGCCCCUUAGUGCUGCAGCUAACGCAUUAAGCACUCCGCCUGGGGAGUACGGCCGCAAGGCUA